rnacentral:misc_RNA from 1 species
UAAGGAUGGUAAGGGUUAAACAAUGCAAUUAUGCAAACAAGCAAAAGGGAGAUAAGAUAAGAGAGAACCUAUACCCUUUCGGCUCCAGUUCAGACGGGCGAGGGUUCUACUGUGGUCGCUAAACCCCCGCUUAAGCGAUCGCGGCUCUUCUCCUUUCCGACCACGAAGACCCCUGUUGCUGUCGCGCAACUCUCCUUCGUGAUCUCCUCUCAUCUCAGUCUCACAGAGAAGAAACCUCUUUUGUGCUCUUCUUCGAUUGGUAAACUGAAUUUAAUUUCUGAUUUAUCUGUUAUUAUUACAUCAAGAGCAAUGAAAGUUGAGGAUUCAUUAGAUUUGAUAAUGUCACCUUUCCGUUUCCUUGGUCUGGGAAAUUUGAAAUGUGAUCAACUUGAAACUUAUGUUGGGAAUGCGCUAAAAGAGUCUGGAUUUAUGUAGGAAGAGUCAUUGACGUAAAGCUCAUUUUUGUGUCUAUAAGGGAGUUAUGGAUUUAUUUUGGAAGCAUUUACUGUUACCCUUCUUGUGAUCUUAGUUGAGUUUGUUGUCUAUGCAUAAUUCGUUGCUACUGAAUGAAGCAUGUAAAUUAGGGAUUCCUUGGAUUUGAUGGCUUUUCUUUUCUUUAAAUUUCAGUGAACUAUUGUGGAUAUUUUAGUAUGUUGUCACACCACAAACCAUUGAAGUUUGUAGAAGGUUUUUACUCGACUAUGACAAUGUUUUAAUUGGGUAAUGGGUUAUUCAAAUAAAAAAGGUUUCCAAUGGUGCUGCUGGAAAGAGUGGAGUUGUUGGCUGAUAAUGAGUGGGGAAGUAAGAGGAGGACUAGUGUUUAUAGUAAAGGAAGGGUACAUGUUGAGAAUGUGAGUGAGGAGGUUGUGGUGGAGAAGAGGGUGAGUGAAGUUUUUAGGUCUAGUGAAGCGGUGAAGUCUGUGAGUGAGGUAGGGAAUGCAAAUUUCGGGGAUUGAGGGUGGUGGGUUUGGUGCCACAGAAAAGAAUGUACAGCUUACGGUUUAGGAAACCUUGAGGUUGUUUAAAAAGCA